UACUUUUCAAAGGUUUAACAAAAAGGUGAAUCAUACGUAUAAGACUGCAUGGGUGUUUGAAUCAAGACUGUAAGCUUUUUAUCCGAUUAAUCAUGCAGCUCUAUAACCGUGUAUACGAGUGUAAGGGAGAGAGAGUGUAACCUGGGAAAUGUCUGCUUCUUGCACAGACUGGAACUUGCGAUACUAACCCUACAGAAGACAGAACCUAAGGUGGCAGUAGUCUAUGAUCUCCUGCAUCUAAUUUGGAAGACCUAUCACUUUAGUGGCAAGUCAAAACGAGAGCUCUACAAUCUCGGACAAGAACUUGGAGUGGACAUCUGCAGUCCCAGCAGUGUCAAGGGAACUCGAUGGAUCCCCCACAUACACAGAGCUUUGAAGGUGUUUCUGCGACAUGGACAGGGCAAAGACCUUGCCAGUGACCCAGAUCAAUACUCUGUGGUUCUUCAACAUAUGGAGCAUCUGGCAGCCUCAGCAUCCACAUCUAGUGAAGUUCAAGGACGGGCAAAAAAGAUAAAGAUGAAAAUGGAGAGUACUCUUUUCUGUGUAUUUUGCCACUUUCUUUGUGACCUGUUUGAGGAGCUAGCUACUCUUAGCCUCACACUACAGAAGAAUGAUUUGAUCCUCCCCCAAGCCACCUCAGAAUUGAAAAAAACAGUAACCAGACUGGAGGCACUAAAGAUAAAUCCAAAACCAGGUGGCCUGCUUGAGAAGGUCCAGACCUCAUUUGCUCAGCAGCGGGGUGAUGAAAUGAGCUUCCAGGGAAUGAAACUGAAAGGGAAUGUCACAUGCCUCAAACAUCCACAGCUGAAGCGGCACGUAGAAGCUGCCAUCAGCAUCAGUGUGGAUGCCAUCAAAGCAAGGUUUGGUGGUUUGGUGAAGAAUGAGGGGAUCCAGACCAUACUGGAUUCUUUCAGAGUGCUCAACCCUGACACAUGGCCAGAGGAACAAGCUAACCUACUUACCUUUGGAGAUGACAGCAUAGCAGACCUGGUGAAGCAUUUUGAAAAGCCUCUAACAGAAGCAGGGUGCAAAAUUGCUACAAUCCAGGAUGAAUGGCAAGGGCUCAAAAUCCUAGUGAGCCAGAACUUCAGGGACAAAACCUACUCUGGCUUACGGGAGAUGCUGCUGACAAAGGACCCCUACAAGCAAGACUACAAAGUAAGGCAGUGCAGUCCAAA
rnacentral:lncRNA from 1 species